AAGCUCGUAGUUGAAUUUCGGGAUCAAUUUAUUGGUCGUGCAAUAGUACGUACUGGUAUUAUUGAUUCCUACCUUCUGACGAACCAUGAUGUCAUUAAUUUGGUGUCAUGGGGAAUCAGGACUGUUACUUUGAAAAAAUUAGAGUGUUUAAAGCAGGCUCACGCUUGAAUACAUUAGCAUGGAAUAACGAAAUAGGACGUUUGAUUUUAUUUUGUUGGUUUCUAGGAUCGACGUAAUGAUUAAUAGGGAUAGUUGGG
rnacentral:rRNA from 1 species